rnacentral:lncRNA from 1 species
UAAAGAACACUCUUUAAAAAAAAGAACCGUGGAACAAUGAAUUAAAAUCUGUACCUGAUCUCUUUAGGUAUGGUGCUGGGUGCAGAUGCAGUGUGGCUCUGGAUAGCACCUUAUGGACAGGGUCUUGCCUCACCCAAGCUAGAGUGCAGUGGCCUUUGAAGCUUACUACAGCCUCAAACUUCUGGGCUCAAGUGAUCCUCAGCCUCCCAGUGGUCUUUGUAGACUGCCUGAUGGAGUCUCAUGGCACAAGAAGAUUAAAACAGUGUCUCCAAUUUUAAUAAAUUUUUGCAAUCC